UACGAGGGGGGCAAGCGUUGUUCGGAAUUACUGGGCGUAAAGCGUGCGCAGGCGGUUGUGCAAGACAGAUGUGAAAUCCCCGGGCUUAACCUGGGAAUUGCAUUUGUGACUGCACGGCUAGAGUGUGUCAGAGGGGGGUAGAAUUCCACGUGUAGCAGUGAAAUGCGUAGAUAUGUGGAGGAAUACCGAUGGCGAAGGCAGCCCCCUGGGAUAACACUGACGCUCAUGCACGAAAGCGUGGGGAGCAAACAGG
rnacentral:rRNA from 1 species